CCUACGGGAGGCAGCAGUGGGGAAUAUUGGACAAUGGGCGAAAGCCUGAUCCAGCAAUGCCGCGUGAGUGAUGAAGGCCUUCGGGUCGUAAAGCUCUUUUACCAGGGAUGAUAAUGACAGUACCUGGAGAAUAAGCUCCGGCUAACUCCGUGCCAGCAGCCGCGGUAAUACGGAGGGAGCUAGCGUUGUUCGGAAUUACUGGGCGUAAAGAGUACGUAGGCGGUUAUUCAAGUCAGAGGUGAAAGCCCGGGGCUCAACCCCGGAACUGCCUUUGAAACUAGAUAACUAGAGUCUUGGAGAGGUUAGUGGAAUUCCGAGUGUAGAGGUGAAAUUCGUAGAUAUUCGGAAGAACACCAGUGGCGAAGGCGACUAACUGGACAAGUACUGACGCUGAGGUACGAAAGCGUGGGGAGCAAACAGGAUUAGAUACCCUGGUAGUCCACGCCGUAAACGAUGAUAACUAGUUGUUCGGUCACUUGGUGACUGAGUGACGCAGCUAACGCAUUAAGUUAUCCGCCUGGGGAGUACGGUCGCAAGAUUAAAACUCAAAUNAUAGAGCGNGAGAGNGCGACGACGACACGAGGAGAG
rnacentral:rRNA from 1 species